rnacentral:rRNA from 1 species
UUAAUGAGGCGAACCGGGGGAACUGAAACAUCUAAGUACCCCGAGGAAAAGAAAUCAACCGAGAUUCCCCCAGUAGCGGCGAGCGAACGGGGAGGAGCCCAGAGCCUGAAUCAGUGUGUGUGUUAGUGGAAGCGUCUGGAAAGGCGCGCGAUACAGGGUGACAGCCCCGUACACAAAAAUGCACAUACUGUGAGCUCGAUGAGUAGGGCGGGACACGUGGUAUCCUGUCUGAAUAUGGGGGGACCAUCCUCCAAGGCUAAAUACUCCUGACUGACCGAUAGUGAACCAGUACCGUGAGGGAAAGGCGAAAAGAACCCCGGCGAGGGGAGUGAAAAAGAACCUGAAACCGUGUACGUACAAGCAGUGGGAGCACGCUUCGGCGUGUGACUGCGUACCUUUUGUAUAAUGGGUCAGCGACUUAUAUUCUGUAGCAAGGUUAACCGAAUAGGGGAGCCGAAGGGAAACCGAGUCUUAACUGGGCGUUAAGUUGCAGGGUAUAGACCCGAAACCCGGUGAUCUAGCCAUGGGCAGGUUGAAGGUUGGGUAACACUAACUGGAGGACCGAACCGACUAAUGUUGAAAAAUUAGCGGAUGACUUGUGGCUGGGGGUGAAAGGCCAAUCAAACCGGGAGAUAGCUGGUUCUCCCCGAAAGCUAUUUAGGUAGCGCCUCGUGAAUUCAUCUCCGGGGGUAGAGCACUGUUUCGGCAAGGGGGUCAUCCCGACUUACCAACCCGAUGCAAACUGCGAAUACCGGAGAAUGUUAUCACGGGAGACACACGGCGGGUGCUAACGUCCGUCGUGAAGAGGGAAACAACCCAGACCGCCAGCUAAGGUCCCAAAGUCAUGGUUAAGUGGGAAACGAUGUGGGAAGGCCCAGACAGCCAGGAUGUUGGCUUAGAAGCAGCCAUCAUUUAAAGAAAGCGUAAUAGCUCACUGGUCGAGUCGGCCUGCGCGGAAGAUGUAACGGGGCUAAACCAUGCACCGAAGCUGCGGCAGCGACACUAUGUGUUGUUGGGUAGGGGAGCGUUCUGUAAGCCUGUGAAGGUGUACUGUGAGGUAUGCUGGAGGUA